ensembl:lncRNA
GUUAUAGAGGGGCUGCUAUGUCCUAUAAUUGAAUUCUUCUCAUCCACAGUUACCCUCAUUGCCCUUCAAAGAAACCUGCAUCCUAGAGAAAAGGCAGCAGUCAGGAGAAUGGAGUAUAACAGAUGCGAUUCCCAACAAGGAUAAAAAUUAACACGAAUAGAAUUAAUGGUUUAAUUUUGCAAGUGAAAGGGAAGAGUUUACGAUGCCUCACUGGGGAAAGGGGCUUCUGUCUUUGCUGAUGACCCAAACAUGUCUGCCAAGGAGAAAUACGGUGUCCAGUCUCCCAUUGAACUGCCACACGAAUGGAUUGGCCGUGGCUUCUGGCUUGACAGAGCCCUGGGUUCUAGCAGCAUAUCCCCAAGCAAGGAUUUCUGGAGCCACAGUGAACACAGGAAAGCAGCACCCAAUGGGCACUGAAAUAUUAACUAAUGAUGAGUUGCCCUGAGUCAGCAGGUGCCUGGGCACUGGGACUAGAUCAUUUUUAGCCAGGCAGGCAAGGCAGAGAAUUGGAUUUACCCUGCUGUUGUUGGCUUGAAGAUGGAAGGAGCCAUGUGGAUAGUGUGAAAAAGAAGUGAAUUCUGCCCAGCCACCACUGAGACCCCCUGAGCCUCAGAUGAGAACUGACUACUUCCUGACUGAUAGCUUGAUUUCAGCCUGUGAGAACCUGAGCAAAGAACUCAGCUGUGCCUAGACUUCUGAUCCAUGGAAACUAUGAGAUAAUAAAUGGAUGCUGUUAUAGG